UGAUAUGAACAUGAAACCGCUGAAUACAAAACAACCAAAUUAAAUGGUUUUUUCAACGAUAAAAAUAUAUCACUGGAUACAUUAAUUGGAAUAUGCACUGACCGUGAGCCAACAAACACUGGCCCACACGGUGGAAUUAUACGACAAUUCGAAUUGCUGUUAAAAAGACCAUUGCAUUGGUUUGUUUGCCUUCUACACUUCAACGAACUUCCGUUUCGGCAUUUGUUUGAAGCUUUGGAUAAAUCAACCAGCACUGGACCAAGAUCGGCAACCGGAAAACUGAGCCGUCAAAUCGAAACUUGUGAAACUCUUCCGGUGGUGGACGGCUUCCAGAAAAUUGAGUUGCAAAAUAUGCCCCCUGCUCCAGAAAAAAAAAGAACUUUCCACCGAUUCGAAAUACUUAUACGACAUGGCCCAUGCAAUUUCUAGCGGCGUGGUUCCGGUGGAUAUGGCUAACAUCAUACCAGGGAAAAUUGUACAUUCUCGGUGGCUCACCAAGGCCGCUAGAUUAUUGCGAUUAUAUGUGACAACGAAAAAUCCUGAUGCAAAUUAAAAAAUUCUGGUUGAAUUUAUAAUUAAAUGUUAUGUGCCAAUGUACUUCAAUAUCAAGUAUUACAGCUCUGCCGUGUACGGCAGUGCAUUAUUUUUGAAGUUCAUUGGUUGGUCACGAUUUCUAGAACUUC